AAAUUUUUUUUUAUCAAUUUAUACCUAAAGUUUCCAAUCGUGUAUCAAAUUGCCCCAAUUGUUAAUGGUAUUAAAAAUUGUUUAUCAUUGUCUUUGUGAAAUAUUAUGUUAAAGGCAAUUUAGUAUUAAAGUAAUGAUUAUCACUUUUUUAUUACUUUUAAUUAUUAUUUUAUUCUCUUAAUUAGAUUUUCAUUUAAUUAGAAAAUGUAAGACCAAAUUUGUGCCCGGGCUUACACAUAAACUAAAAAACAAAUCAAAAUAUAAAAUAAAUAAAUAAAUAAAUAAUAAAGUCCAAUUUCCAUUUCUUACAUAGCCCAACAACCGAAAAUAAUAGACCCAACAAAAUACAUGGCCCAAAACAAUAAUUCCUAGCCUACUGCCUAGUGCUGCAACAUACACCAGCAGCUUCCGUAGAGUCCCCAGCCUCCAUGCUCCACAACGGCUUCCACGCGCGUCAUUGCUCCUCUACAUGCGUCACGCCUGCAACAGACUAACAAUCACAACAGCUAGCAGCAAUUGAGAGCAAAUGACAGUAGGAAAAUUUGUAUUUUUUCUUAUUUAUUUUAUUUUCUAUUUUCGACUAUAAAACCGAAUGAAAGGAUGUAAAGAAGGGGGAUGCAUACCAGUCUAUACAAAAAUCGAUUCAAAAAGUUUGAAUAAAAAGAGAAACAGUCUCCAAGAGGUGAUUGGAGAUUUCAUUUUUUUCCUUUUCGAUUUUGGUUUUUUUUUUCUUCUUUUUUUCUUUGAUCUUCAUUGUUGCGCAUAAAAUACAAAAUAAAUAAAAGCCUAAACACUUAUCUGUUAGAAGGAGCCUUAGAAUCCCUGUUUACUUUGUUGAAAUUAAAGCUCUGAUGGGGAUUCAAGGGGUCUGAUUUGAUGAUAUGGAGGCAAAGAGUGAAGAACCUUUUGGUUCAGUCGACUAAAGGGGAAAAGAGGUUGAAAAGUUUUGAGAGAAGGGUUUUGCAAGUUGUUUUUGAGAAGAGUAAUCGUUCAGAGGUUAUUAUGGCCUUGCCUUUUCACCUUGAAAGGUCAAUUUGCGCGCCGAGUCCUUCUUAUCCUACAUUGAUUUGUUUUUCAGCCUUGAUUCUGUUUAUUUGUUUUUACAUUUUCCCUGUGAUUUACGCAUUGCUGCAAUUUGGUCCUUGUUUAAAUGUCGCAUUUCAAAGCUUGGGAUAUUUGUAUUUUAGAUCCCUGACCAUUGGUGCAUGUUUCAUCUUAGUUUAAUCUUUGGUUUUAUUAAUUUUAUUUGUUUAUAGAUCAUCCUCUUAAUCUUAUUUUUAUUUCAAUCGAGUUUUUAUUUACUUAUUUAUGUUUUUAUUCAUUUUUAUUUAAGAUUUUAUUAUUUGUUUUUUUAAAUUAUCUUAACAUAGUUUUAAAUAUUGCUUUAAUUUGUUAUUUCAUUCAUUUGUAUAAUUGUUUCUUUA
rnacentral:lncRNA from 1 species